UUUUCGUAAUGUUACAUGAUGUAAAUGUGUUUUAUUUUUACUGUGAAAUGAUAUGAACUGUGUAUCUGUUCUUUAGAGGGGAGAGCAUUUGUUUUUCCACGUGUUUUGUAUACACCCAACAUGCCGGAAAGUGUCGACAAGCCACUGCUGUUGUCUAUUGUGUUGUAAUUGUCUUUAGUCUGUUAGAUACUCUUCUUUGAUCUCUUAGAUCCCUUUCGAACUCUUUUAAAAUUUAGUUACUAUCUCAGGCUUUCAUCUUAAUGCUGUACAAUUUUUUAUUGUCCAGUCGGGAAUAAAGCCCACAUAAAAUUUA